GACGAACGCUGGCGGCGUGCUUAACACAUGCAAGUCGAGCGGUAAGGCCCUUUCGGGGGUACACGAGCGGCGAACGGGUGAGUAACACGUGGGUGACCUGCCCUCAGCUCUGGGAUAAGCCUGGGAAACUGGGUCUAAUACCGGAUAUGACUCCAUGACGCAUGUUGUGGGGUGGAAAGCCUUGUGCGGCUGAGGAUGGGCCCGCGGCCUAUCAGCUUGUUGGUGGGGNGAUGGCCCACCAAGGCGACGACGGGUAGCCGGCCUGAGAGGGCGACCGGCCACACUGGGACUGAGACACGGCCCAGACUCCUACGGGAGGCAGCAGUGGGGAAUCCUGCGCAAUGGGCGAAAGCCUGACGCAGCGACGCCGCGUGAGGGAUGACGGCCU
rnacentral:rRNA from 1 species